rnacentral:rRNA from 1 species
AGGACGAACGCUGGCGGCGUGCUUAACACAUGCAAGUCGGGCGACGCUCUCCCUUCGGGGGGAUGACGGAGCGGCGAACGGGUGAGUAACACGUGGGCAACCUGCCCCUAGCUCUGGGACAACACCGGGAAACCGGUGCUAAUACCGGAUACGACAUCGAGCGGCAUCUCUCGAUGUGGAAAGUUUUUUUCGGCUAGGGAUGGGCCCGCGGCCUAUCAGCUUGUUGGUGGGGUAAUGGCCCACCAAGGCGACGACGGGUA